GCUUGGACACUGCUCCCUAGUCUGUUAAUUGGAGGAGGAAUGGGAUUGCCAAGCAAGAAUGCCAUACUCUCUGAAAAUAAACUUUCAUUCCAGUCCUGUGCUACUGCAAAGGAUGAACCUCCACAUGGCAUGAAGCUCAGUGGGCUAUGCCUGUGAAUAGUCCUCCAUCACAGCAAAGAACUUCUACCAAGGAAGACCAGCUGCUGGUUCUCCUGUCUGGAAGAACACUGAGAUUUCUCCAGGUUUAAAAUGCCACUUGGAAUCAGCCCUCCUUAAAGCAGAGUGUUUGAUGGGGGAAAAAGCAACUGAACUGCUGCUCGAAAGUGACUUUCUUUGUGAUGCAGACACGGGGCGUUGUGAGGAAAUGCUUGUAUCGCUGGGAAGCGGAAGGUGAAGGAAAACCCCCCCACCUCGGAAGGAAACA
ensembl:lncRNA